CUCCUUUGACGUUAGCGGCGGACGGGUGAGUAACACGUGGGUAACCUACCUAUAAGACUGGGAUAACUUCGGGAAACCGGAGCUAAUACCGGAUAAUAUUUCGAACCGCAUGGUUCGAUAGUGAAAGAUGGUUUUGCUAUCACUUAUAGAUGGACCCGCGCCGUAUUAGCUAGUUGGUAAGGUAACGGCUUACCAAGGCGACGAUACGUAGCCGACCUGAGGGGGUGAUCGGCCACACUGGAACUGAGACACGGUCCAGACUCCUACGGGAGGCAGCAGGA
rnacentral:rRNA from 1 species